GGAAAUAUCUUAGAAGAAUUUGGAAAAACUUUUGCCAGGGUUAAGCUAUUUCAAAUAUUUUUGAACUUUGUGAGAUAAAUGUAGUGCAUUUUACCGCUAAAUUGUUGAAACAUCGGUAGAAAAUGUAGGUUUGAAAAGGCUACGCAUCCCGGGAACUUCCUUUUUGGAAAGAGGCUUCUGGCAGCUGAUCGAUAUGGUGCUGGGGCUGCUGACCAUGGAACUUCCUGUUACAUCAGGUGAAUUAGAUGCCGAUGAUAAUCAGCAAAAGCCGAGGCAAAAGCUGAACGGAGUAGAAACCAUCCAAGGAACCAUCACAUGGGAGAACUUAAUUAGCAUCCAGACCAGAUAAUUUUAUGGCUCAAGUGGAUUGUUAAUAUUUAUCGCCUUUAAUUUUGUAUUAAGUGCAAGAUUUGUAAAAUGGUUUUAUGUACAAAUAAAAUGUGUACUCUACUUUUUUAUUAUUA